rnacentral:rRNA from 1 species
GAUGAACGCUAGCGGCAGGCCUAACACAUGCAAGUCGAGGGAGAAGCCCUUUCGGGGGCAGACACCGGCGCACGGGUGCGUAACGCGUAUGCAACCUACCUUUCACAGGGGGAUAGCCCGAAGAAAUUUGGAUUAAUACCCCAUAAUAUUAUUUGAUGGCAUCAUUUGAUAAUUAAAACUGCUGUGGUGAAAGAUGGGCAUGCGUCCUAUUAGCUAGUUGGAGUGGUAACGGCACCCCAAGGCUACGAUAGGUAGGGGUCGUGAGAGGGAGAUCCCCCACACUGGUACUGAGACAGGGACCAGACUCCUACGGGAGGAAGCAGUGAGGAAUAAUGGUCAAUGGUCGGAAGACUGAACCAGCCAUGCCGCGUGCAGGAAGAAUGCCUUAUGGGUUGUAAACUGCUUUUAUAUGGGAAGAAUAAGGCGUACGUGUACGUUGAUGACGGUACCAUAUGAAUAAGCAUCGGCUAACUCCGUG